GGAGAGUAGAGCUCAGUGGUGGAGCAUGUGCUUAGCAUGCACAAGGUCCUGGGUUCAGCCCCCAAUACCUCCA
rnacentral:tRNA from 1 species